CUGACUUCUAAAGCCAUUUAGACUUUUGUUGUGGGGGAACCGACGUCUAUAGAUGUUUGUUAUGGCGAGAACCGACUUCUAAAUACUCAGUCCAGAAAUUUAAAAGUCACUUUUUGACUCCAUUUAGAUGUCUGAUCCUGCCAAUCCGACUUCUAAAGCCAUUUAGACAUCUGUUGUGGGGGAAACCAACGUCUAUAGACGUCUGUUAUGGCGAGAACCGACUUCUAAAUACUCGGC
rnacentral:lncRNA from 1 species